UUCAAAGGGUCAAAGGGGGAGAAGGAAAGCGGACUAGUCUUUGUCUUCAACCAGCUUACUAAAGAGGGUGCCUUACACCAAAGGUUAAGUCUUCAUCAGGCAUCCUGGACGAGCUGAAAAGCCAAACCAAGACACCGCUGCUCCUGCUGCUGCUAGGGCGUAAAGAGGCGGGCUGGCAGCAGAAAGGCCAAAGAAAUCAUACCAUGAAAAAUCAGUAUUUUUCUCCCAAAUAUCAGGAGAACAAUCUGGGAUGCUGAGGGCUGCAACCAUUUUAAGAGGAAUACAGUGGCUCAGUGGCUAAGAUGCUGAGCUUGUCUAU